rfam:Cicer arietinum chromosome Ca2, whole genome shotgun sequence.
AUCCCAGUUAAGAUUGAAUAUUUUAUUCAGUUCUUAUACUGAUUCAUGGGAGGCCAAAAUAAAUUGUUGGAAGUUUCGCUGAUAAAUGCCUGAAUCUUACCUUUAUAUCAAGGUGUUUACUAGUAACUUGCCACACAUUU